rnacentral:rRNA from 1 species
GACGAACGCUGGCGGCGUGCUUAACACAUGCAAGUCGAACGAAGAGCGAUGGAAGCUUGCUUCUAUCAAUCUUAGUGGCGAACGGGUGAGUAACGCGUAAUCAACCUGCCCUUCAGAGGGGGACAACAGUUGGAAACGACUGCUAAUACCGCAUACGAUCCAAUCUCGGCAUCGAGACUGGAUGAAAGGUGGCCUCUAUUUAUAAGCUAUCACUGAAGGAGGGGAUUGCGUCUGAUUAGCUAGUUGGAGGGGUAACGGCCCACCAAGGCGAUGAUCAGUAGCCGGUCUGAGAGGAUGAACGGCCACAUUGGGACUGAGACACGGCCCAGACUCCUACGGGAGGCAGCAGUGGGGAAUCUUCCGCAAUGGACGAAAGUCUGACGGAGCAACGCCGCGUGAGUGAUGACGGCCUUCGGGUUGUAAAGCUCUGUUAAUCGGGACGAAUGGUUCUUGUGCGAAUAGUGCGAGGAUUUGACGGUACCGGAAUAGAAAGCCAC